rnacentral:rRNA from 1 species
AGUCGAACGCGAAAGGGUAGCAAUACCCGAGUAAAGUGGCGAACGGGUGAGUAACGCGUAGGAAACCUGCCUUCGAGUGGGGGAUAACAUUCCUAACGGGGUGCUAAUACCGCAUGAAACUGCGGGAUCGCAUGGUUCUGCAGUCAAAGGUGGCCUCUGCUUGCAAGCUACCGCUCAAAGAUGGUCCUGCGUCCCAUUAGCUAGUUGGCGGGGUAAUGGCCCACCAAGGCGACGAUGGGUAGCCGAUCUGAGAGGAUGACCGGCCACACUGGGACUGAGAUACGGCCCAGACUCCUACGGGAGGCAGCAGUCGAGAGGCUUCGGCAAUGGGGGAAACCCUGACCGAGCGACGCCGCGUGGAGGAUGAAGGCCUUUGGGUUGUAAACUCCUGUCAUGUGGGAAGAAACGCCACCGUACUAAUAGCACGGUGGUUUGACGGUACCACAAGAGGAAGCUCCGGCUAACUCCGUGCCAGCAGCCGCGGUAAUACGGGGGGAGCAAACGUUGUUCGGAAUCACUGGGCGUAAAG